ACACUUUUUUACUGGAUGUGCUGAUAUCUGGGCUCCUUCGUGGGUGUGCGUGUGUGUGCGUGCUGAGCGUGUGUGUGUGCGCGUGUGAAUGUAUGGGUGUGGUUUCAUGUUUUUUCAUCCGUUAUAUACGUGUGUUAAAUGUUGGCUAUAAAUGUGUUUCUUAUUGCAUGUCCUCGCCUGCCUGUGUGUACAUUGAUUCCUUCACCGCGGCAGGCAUAUUUUCGCAGGGUGUACUGGUCCUCUUUGUGUGCGUUUCCGCGAGGCCGUGCUAGGAACAAAGACCGCGGCUCCCUUCGCACACGGCGGGCCCGCGAGGGGAGUGUUAGCGUGCUGGCCAGGAGGUUCCGCGCUCCGCUCUGGCUCCGUGAGGGUCAGCGGGGGGACGCCGGUGAUGCAUAAUGAACGACGCGCUGAGUGUUCUUCACGCUCUGACGAGCGAGGUUCAACAACACUGCGUCCGCACCCGCGUUAUUCACGAUAGCUUAAAACGAAAACAGGCACGGUGGGCGCCCUCGCUCGCACCACGGGCAGUGGUGGCGACCCCUGGAUCCAGCGGUCCUACUGCGUUACAGCACAGCUUCAGUGGGGAGACAAGGCACGGACACUAGCCCCAGAUUCCAGCUGCUGAGUGCUGAGUGCUUGAGGUGAAGGUUCACACUGGACGGGGGGAAACUGGACGGUCAGCAUAACAGCAGCAGUGAUCGUCAUGCUAGCUUUAAGAGGGUGCUUGACCAACUGACGAGCACACACACACCUCUCUGUAAUAUACACACAUAUACCUCUAUAUCGCUGAACACACAAAUCCCCCCCCCCCUACACACACACACACACACACACACACACACCCAUGAUAUGACCAAUGACUGUUGUACAGUAUUCAAAACAGUAUAGAACAUGGGUGCACACAUAUAAAGCUGGUAAAACACACACACACAGAUGGGCCCCUCUGAGACAGAGGGCCUGCAUCCAGAGGCCCUCCAAGAGCACAGAGACUCAGAUACGGUAGAAGUGGGCAGAACAACAAUAAUGAAAUGAAAAGAAAACCAAAGAAGGAGAGAGAGAGAGAGAGAGAGAGAGAGAGAGAGAGAGAGAGAGAGAGAGAGAGAGAGAGAGCGCUCUGGCCCACACACAGAGCAGGUUGGCAGUAGGAGAUAAAAAUAUGCACGCAGAAACACGCACACUGGCCAAGCCCUUUUCUCUUGCAUUUAUGGACCAAUAGGGGGACCUGUUCGUAUAGGGGACUGCUGGUGGCCGGUACUCCCAGACUGACGGCUCAACCCCCGUUCUGCAAGGUGAACAUAUAAAUAAUACACCACUUGACCUGGAUUCUUUCUACUCACCCACGACUCCAAACAAGCCCAGACAUACUCCACGUUUUUCAGCCUCUCCAGGAAAGAAAACAACUAAAAUAUACAUAAGCUACAGCAUUGGCUGUACAUGAAUUGCUAAUGAGUUUUCCUGUGGUUCUCCGGUGAUUAAUCAGGACGUGCUUUGCUUCCAGUCCAGUUUGGCGCGGCGCUGCCAAACGACCGUCCCAGCGGUGGUCUUAUCGGACCGGAGGAGAACACCCACGCCAGCGCGUGCUAUCGGCGCGGCUGCUGUUUGAUGUGGAGAGAUCUGGCGGGCGUUCGAGGGCUAAAGGUGCAGCCUGCGGGAAGAGAGAGAGAGCCUUCCGCUUUGAUGUGACAGCGAUGACACUGACAAGGCGGCGGUGGACGCCGGGGUCAGCGAGUCGCCGUGACGAGCGUUGAGGCAGAACACAAACCAGACGAGCUAAUGCGAGCAGAGUCAGGAAGUCACGUAAACUGCCACCCUGUUGGGGUGGCCGCCCUAGCUACGUGAUAACUAUAGUUAGGGUUGGUACAAGUAGUCCAUUCAACACUCUAUUAGGUCAUGGCUUUGGUAAACCUAUUAUGUCAGCUAACUUUGAUGCAUUUUGUAACUUUUAAUCCAUUUCGUAACUUUUAAUGCAUUUUCUUUAACUUUGAAUGCAUUUUUUUAAUUUAAAUGCAUCUUACUUGAUUAUUACUAGAGUGUUUUUUAAUGUGAGUCGCUGUGAUGACUGCAGCUCUUCUCCGGGAGGGUUUCAAUUCCUAUCUUUCUGUGUAUCUGUUCUACUUGUUAAUAAAGUUUUUAAGAAUGA